rnacentral:tRNA from 1 species
GCCCUCGUAGCUCAGGGGAUAGAGCGUUUGCCUCCGGAGCAAAAGGCCGCAGGUUCGAUUCCUGCCGAGGGCAC